AGAUCCAAUGAAAAUAUUUUGUUUCUCCAUGUCAUUCAUACACGUCAUUCACAUUGUUUUUGUUCUAAACGUUUCCACUUUCUUAAUUUUACCGUUCACGGACGAUGCUCAAAGACGAAGCAUCAAAGGGAGUAUUGUCGUCGGCGGCUGAUUCCGAUGAUCGAUCCCACCCUGAUUCGUAGCUCUAGCUCUGGCCCAGCUUCUACUUCAUCUGUCUCUUCCUCAGGUGUCUGUAGAGGCUUCCGCGACAAUACCGAGACGGGAAACAUUUGAGCCGGCGGCACUGCUACAGGUACGGUUGGGGAUAUGGUUAUGGUCUUACGUUAGAGAAGAGAUCUUCUCAUGGAAGGAAGUGGAAUGGAAAGCAUAUCUAAGGGAUUCUCAGAUGAGAGUUUAAGCAGUGGAAAAUUACUCUUGGAACGUGUGAUCCAUCACCUAUGAUGGCUAAUCAGUUUUAUGAUCUUGCAACAGAGAAUCAUAUCUUCCAAUUAUACCAUCGAAAGCUUAAGGCCAGGCUCAAGUCUUUUCCAAAGCGUUGCAGGUAAGAUUAAAUUUGGUCAUUUUCACCAUCAUGCAUAUAUCACAUUCAUAUAUUACUAUUGAAAUGAAUCUCUUCUGGCAUAGUAAUAUAUCAGAAUGAUAACCAGUGUAUUGUGUUAUCAAUCUUUGGCCUAGAAAACAUGAAUCUCUAAACAGAUUGCAGAAGAGAAGUUGCAGAUAUUGAUUUAAAGUUCCGGAGUUUGGUAGCAAUUGGCUUGUUGGCCUCGUGAAGAAUAAAGCAAAUUAGCAAUAGGCUUUUAGGUGGAAGUUGGUGCUGAUAUCGAUUUUGUGAUUUGCCAACUUUAGAAGGACACUUGUGACACCGCCAAUAUUAGGAUUGUUUUGAAUGUAAAUUUUAUUCAAUUUUAUUACUCGACUAAAUUUUCUAACAGAGCAUCA